rnacentral:lncRNA from 1 species
CACCUGUUUGCUCUAGGACAGGCCAUUGGAAACGUCCAGUGGUGACCCUUCCAACCCUCCCCGACCGCUUGGCAGGCUCCCUUACUUCCCCGUAGUACGGUUGGUUUUGAUCUUUAUGAUGACUGGCUCCAAGAUGUUGUGCUGCUGGCUUAUACAAUGGUGAUGGGUAGACAUGCCCUACAUAAACUGUAGCUCUGCCGCGAUAAAACGAGCUCAGCGCCACCAAGCCUGACUCCUGGAGUCUUCGUGUGUGGACUCCGUUGCUUCACCUCCUCGCGGGACGCAACCCCACCACAUCACAACAUCUGGUGUCCGACAAUGUGGGGCGGCCCCUGCGGGACGACUUCUGUGGCAACAAAGGCGAGGUGAGUGCCCCUGAUCAGCUUAUACAUCUGCGCCUGGUGAGUGCUCGGACCUCUUUGCCCCCUUUUUGCUUUUGGUUUGUGGUUUCAGUUUGUCGCCUCUUUGAUAGGAUUUAUUAGGGAGGCACAUAACCCCCUGCUCCCUGGUUUGCUACAAAGUGGGAGCCCCUUGGUUCAUCCAGAAGGCACAAGUAAGGGUUUGGUCUCCCAGUGCCUAAACCAUGAAGGUCACGGCUUAUAGCCACCCUUCACUUCUGAGACACAGUGAGGGACAUACGGGUGACAGCUGGCCCCCAGAGUGACAGCCAGGGAAGUCUCCCUCCCAAACAGCACUUUUUGACCCAAUACACCUUUUCCAUGUCCCCUGAUUCCUUCCACCUACUCCCUUAACAUCAGUGGGCCCCGAUCCGAGGACUUCUCCUUCUGAAUGCCAUAGUAACCGUUGUUCUUUGGCUCUUUGGGCUCAGGAUCCUUUCCCAGAGCCACCAUCUCAAGACCAAAGACCCUGAUAUCUUUGACUUCAGGGACAAUGUGGUUUGCUUGGCACCCUGUAUGUCCUCUGAUACACUUUGGGACAAAGAGCUCUGGCAUCACUUCCUUGUGUUGGCUCGGAAUAGGGAAAUUCAAGAAGGCCAAGCCUUCCCCCUUCCUUUCUUCCCAGUCCUUACCGCCAUCAUAGCAUGUUUAGGAGGGACCACUGAAGAUGAUAUU